GAGAGCCUCCCGGAGGGCGGGAACUGCAGCGCAGCCCACUCCGACCGCAACACCAACGCGCCUUUGCCCAGCCCUGGCCCGAACGACAUUGUGUGUGUGACAGUGUGACCUUGGGUGUCUCCUGCAACGUGUGACGUUCCCACUGAGUGCAUAUGUUGUCUGCACGUAACAGAGGUCUCUAUCCCUCUCUGGGUCUCAGUUUUCCCUUCUGGGAAAUGAAGAUGAGCCAGGAAACUUCUAAUCUGAUGCCCGUUUCAGCCUACCAUUCCCCAACUGAUAGGAGUUCAGAAGAAACAGUUUGGUUUCAUCCAAAAUAGCAUUAAGUAAACCAGAAGGCUGGACUAGGGCAGUGCUUCUCAAGCACCUCAUCUGAGGAUCCUGUUACAGUGCAUCGGAUUCAGGAGGUCUGGGGCCAGGCCAGAGUCUGCAUUUCGAACAAGCUCCCAGGUGAUGCCAUUGCUCCUGCCAGUCUUUGGACCAACUUUGAGUAGCAAGAACCUAGAGGACUUCUGAGGUCACUUCUUGUUCUGAAGGGCCAGACCUUGAGCCCUGGCAGGAGGCACAAGGAGAGGGACCAGUAAAGAGUUGCCCAGAUUAGAGCCAGCUAGGGCAGCACAGAAUAUAAAUGAUUCUGAGGGGCCCUUUCAACCAAUACUUACAAAAAUCGUCAUCGUCAUCAUGGUCAUCAUCAACAAACACUUGUGCAGUGCUUUUUGCUGUCCAGAGCAGCUGUCACAUCCUUGAACCCUGUUGACCCCUGGUGGGAGAGGAGGACACGGCUGGGGAAUCUAUUCAGUCCCAGCCAGAGGAUCCAGGCAGGAGCGCAGUAGCCCCCUAGACUAUUGUCUCCCCGUGGCCAUUUGAUUUUCUUAGCCAGUUUUUGGUGCCUGCUCUCUGACCCCUUCCUCCUUUGUCUCCUAGUGCCUGUUCCUAAUUCUCUCCUCCCCCAACACACAGAGACACAAUGUCAGGGGGAGAAAACCAGUGUAUCCACCCCUAGAUUUCCCACUUUUGAUCCUCUCCUCUCUGACCAAAUAGAACUCAGCUUCAGGGAUUGGAAUCCUGGCUCAUUUCGGGGUGACCUGGGGCAAAUCACUUCAUCUCUUUUGAUCCCACUCUUCUCCUUUGUAACAACGGUAAUUUUCCUUGAGGUGGCAUUUGUUGAGGAUUUAUAUUGUCUGGAACACUCUGCUCAACACUCCAUCCUUACCACAACCCAAAGGAGUAGGAACUAUGCCUAGCUCCAUUUAGUGGAUGGGGAAACUGAGGCUGUAGGGAGUUUACCUGCCCAAAGUCAUCCAGCUGGUUAGUGAUGGAGUCAGGACAUCAAAGCUUGGCUGACAGCAAAGAUCACUGUAGAUUCAUGUGCAGUUGUAAAAAAUAGUGCAGAGAGAUGUCAUGACCUUCUAUCCAGGCUUCCCCAAUGGUAACAUCUUGCAGAGCAAUUGUAUGAUAUCACAACCAGGAUAUUGACAUUGAUAUGAUCCACCAAUCUUAUUCAGAUUUGCUCAAUUUUACUUGUCCGUGUGUGUGUGUGU